AAAAGACUCUGUAGGAAAUCAGUUCCAGAAUAUGGAGCAGACUGGAAUACCUACUUUGUAUUUCACCAUUUUGUGAAUGACCUUACUUAGACAAUCAUAUUGGACUAAUCAUUUUACUGUUAAAGAAGGAUAUGACAGACCUAUUUUGAAAUUAUAGUUCUUUAUGCUUCAUUUUUGGUCUCAAUUAAUCAGUCAGAGAGGCACUGUAGAGCUGGUUUGGAAACUGUCCACGGCUUGUGAUUCUGACAGCUGAGUUGUUUAUGAGGGGGACAUGAUUUGAAUUCCCACAUCUCCCUUCAUCAGAAAUAUUGCUGGGUGGAAAACCCUGAUUACUUCAGAAGAACUUGGACCCAAAUUUGAUGUUGAUGGAAUUGACAUGGAACAGAGGGUGGAAUUUGUGAAAUACAGUUUUCAGAGCUUUGAUAUUCUUUUUUUUCCUUCUCUUGGGAACUAAAGCAGAUUAUCAUUUGCUGAUGUUACAGAAGUGAUUGUGAACAUUGCAUCAAGCCUGAUUCAACACCACAGCUCUUUUUUUGCUAUUCAGGCGCAAAUUAAUUAUUCUGAAGACCAUACCAGAAGAAUUAAAUGUUAGCAAUAUUGGUAAACUGUAAAUGUACAUCAAGUGUCUGACAAAUCUGGAUGGGAAUUUCACAGGAUUUUAAAAGACUUUCUUAAUAUCUGAGCAGUGUUGUUCUUCCAGCAUUUAUUUUGAAAACCCCCGAAAUUUCACAGUUUUCAGCAUUCAUCUGAGAAUUACUCUCUCUUAACCUAAGUGAUCAAGAGUCAUUACUUUCAAAUUAUUUCUGUGGGAAAACAGGCAAUAUAUGGUCAGGUUACAAGCCACAAUUGUACUUCCUGAAAUAAAUAUCCCUUGAUAUUAAAAUAAAAAGAAUAA
rnacentral:lncRNA from 1 species